rnacentral:lncRNA from 10 species
GAAUCAUUUGCCUAAGGUGUGAGCACAGAUCUGGACACCCAGCUCAGUGAAUGGAGAAGAUCAGGGAAAGUCUGAAUGAAGGCCAGCAGGCAGUAUCAGCCGAACCAAGAAGGGCCAUAAAGCUGCAGACCAGGAAAUCUGCCCUCUGAGAGCACAGAAUUUAGAAUGGACAGCAAAUUUAGUAAAAGUGUUCCAGCUAGAAGAUUUGGAUGAAAAGUGAUUCCAAAAAAAUGAGGCAAUCUCAUCCCGAAACUAUUUAAAACUACUCUCCUCUCUCUUGAUAAACCGUCAGUAGGAAGUGUGUCGUUUAUUCCCUCACUCCACACUGGAUUCAUAUGGGCUGAUAGCAGCAGGAUUAAAAAUUUUUUUCAUCAUGAGUUAAAUCCCUAAGAUUUAGAGUAUUUUGUUUGUCUGAAUGUCUAAGCGGUACAAACCUUAGCAAUCCAUAUUAAAAUGGAGAAUUCCUUCUUUUGGUAUUCACAAGCAUAACAUACAUAAUCCUUUA